UAGGGAAUCUUCCACAAUGGACGCAAGUCUGAUGGAGCAACGCCGCGUGAGUGAAGAAGGUCUUCGGAUCGUAAAACUCUGGUGUUAGAGAAGAACACGAGUGAGAGUAACUGUUCAUUCGAUGACGGUAUCUAACCAGCAAGUCACGGCUAACUACGUGCCAG
rnacentral:rRNA from 1 species